GUUGGACGUAACGGAGAGAGAGAAGCCAGGGAGCGGCGGAGAAACAAAAUUGGAAAUUAAGUGAAAAUAACGAUUAAAACCAACGUUUGAGUCGUCGCUUCAUCGCUUUGGUACGUUAGUACCAUGGGAAAUGUCAUUUCUGAAGACGUCUGGAUGCUAAAACAAGCUUUGAAACUGUUUUCUCGAGAAAGAGGAAAGCUGGACGCUGAGCACACCUGCUCCAAGGUUCACUGGUUCAGCUGCUGCAGCCUGGAUGGAAACACCAGCUCACCUUACAGACCAAACAGGACUGAAAACGUGAAGCAGAUACUUGAGUUUGUAACGAGGAGACCGACGUGCAGAUGUGCAGAUGUGCAGAUUUCCAGGUCAGUGUUUUCUUUCUUGUCAUCGUCUCAGCUGCAGUGUGACACUGGACAACCUGCUGCAGUGUGACACUGGACAACCUGCUGCAGGGCUCCAGACCAACUUUUCCUCAGUAGCACUGGUACCUUUCUGAAAAAGUUAGGAGCACCACUAACCUCGACAUCCAAUGACACCAUUUCAUAAAUUGUUGAUACUAACUAUAUUACUGAUAAAUGCUUUGGUAAUAAAUAGACAGUAACAAUGUAUCGUUUAAUUGUAAAGCUAGAAGUAUUAUUAAAAUCUACAUGAAUGAUUUAUUUGACCCUUAAUGAUGCAGAAAAUAAAGUAAUCCUUCACGUUUUUGAGAGUGAUCCCACUAUGCACAAUAAAAAAGAAUCAUCACAAAAUAUGACUUAAAACCAGGCCUAUAGUGAAGGGAUUUGAACAGUGAUUUGCUCAUCAGCCUAAAGUCAGGGCGAAGCCUCUAACCAGCUGUAGGGGUGGGAUCAUUAGGAUUUUAUCUUUAUCCAUCCAGACCCCUAUCAGUCCAGCUCAGACCGUUACUGGUUCUUUUUCAUUUUUAAAUAACGGGGUUUUUUAAUUUAGCAUUUUUUAAAAGAAUAAAUUCAGAACAGGAGUAGAGUGGAGUCUAAUUUUAAAUACAACUAAAUGGUGUUUCUAGAGCAGCAACACUAAUGUUCACAGCUGUAAAAUCACUGUGAACUCAUCAUCUCACUGGAGGCAUUUUGCAAGUUGCACUGGUGCAACUGUCUCCAGAAGAGGUCGCAGUCUGGAGCCCUACUUUGCAGAUUAAUUAAGUUUUAAGUUUGAUUACAACUUAUCAGUGGUAAUGACAAUUAAUUAGUAUUUUUUGUGUAUAUAUAUAUAUAUAUAUAUAUAAAAUAAAACCUUUAAAUGAAUGUAAUCAAAUGGUAUGUUAGAUUAUUAUACUGAUAGUAACAGUAAUAGUAGAAAAACUUGCUCUCAGUUAUGCACAUUAAUUUACCAUAUAAAUGACAGAUUUGGUAUUUUUACUUAACAAAAUCAUUUGUAUGACAUUAGUUUGAAAAUGGACAAACUCAACUAAAAGUAAGAAACUUUUGUUGAAGAAUGAUUUUGUUCCAGACAUCAUCAAACCACAGCAAACAUUUGACCACUAGGAGGCGCUUUGUUUUAUUCUGUCACCUAACUUGAGCAGCAGUGUCAUGUAGUUGUCCUCAUGCUCUCUAGUAUAGAUGAAUGAUUUCCCAUCUCUGUGUGACUCUCAGUGGUCAAGAUGUAAAAUGUCAACAUCUUUCAAAUGAUUGUCCCUAAAACAAACUGGUCCUCACAAAGAGAGAAGAGCAGCACUUUGACCUCAAGAUAGAUAUAUUUUCAAACUUAAUACACAUUGCUUAAUGUUUGUACUUUGAUGGUUUAAUAGUUGCUGAUAAUUGUUGUUUCUGAUUUUUCCACACAGGACUCAGACUUCAGCUCAUCAAGAAGAGACUGACAUGAAGCUUUCCAGCAGGUCAGUGUUUCUUCUUCUCACUGUUGCUCUGCCUCUGUCAUUAUCUCAGCUGCAGUUUGACACUUGUCUGGAACAAAAUCACUAUUCAUUAGUAUUUAUUUUAGUAUUUUUUCACAAUGUAGCUGUAAAGAAAUGAGCACAAACCCUUUAAAGUAUUUUUAUAUGCAAGUAAUGAAUGUUUUAAUAGUAUAAAACCCUUUUAAAAUUAGUAUAAAUCUGACAGUCCUGUGUAGGAUUUUAGUUUUGCCAUAUUGUUCAUGUAAACUCUUAAAUGCUAGAAAAACAGUGAAGUUUUCUCAGUGAUGCAUAUUUAAUUGAGCAGCUGUAAAUAGAGAACAUGUUGGUGUUUUGCAUGAUAAAAUGAUUGAUAUGACUUAGUUUGAAAGUAGAGAAACCUGAUAGUUUAGUAAGAAAGUUUUAAUGAUUUUGUUCCAGACAACAAAGACAAUGACAGAUAUUUGACUGUAUUUUCAACAAAUAUUAAAAUGCAUAUGAUACAGUUAUUCAUGUAUGUCUUUUUGUAGUAACUGAAGAAGAAGAAUAGGC